AGUCCUCCUCUGAGUUGAAAACAUGAGGCGAGACAUUGCAGAUAUCUAUUAUAGAUAGAUUUGCCAUAAAAGACGAACAUUUACCAGAAGGCAGUAGACAGAGGACUGAUACAGAUCUUAGUCUCCUAGUUUUAAGGAGGAGUCAAUGCAAAUACUUAGAUGUCUUUGACGUCUAUUUAACUGCCUGCUGUCAAGUGUGAAGAGAAUAGUGGACAGGCAAAGACACAGUCAAAAAUAAUGGACUUUAUGACAUUGUUGUUACUUUUGAUUGUCUGCUCUGCAGGUGUUGAUGGUCAGACUCUGACACAGUCUGAACCAGCAGUCAAAAGACCAGGAGAUUCCCACAGACUGACCUGUACAGGAUCUGGAUAUAACUUUGGGGGCCACGGUAUGCACUGGAUCAGACAGGCUCCUGGAAAAGGGCUGGAGUGGAUUGCUUGGAUUGAUUGUGGUAGUGGAACUUUCUACUCUGAUUCAGUCAGAGGCCGCUUUACCAUCUCCAGAGACAACAGCAAACAGCAGCUGUAUCUGCAGAUGAACAGUCUGAAGACUGAAGAUUCUGCUGUUUAUUACUGUGCUCGACACUCACAGUGACUAAAGUUCUUUCAGCAGCUGUACAAAAUCCUA